GCAGUCUGUACAAUGUCAUGCAAUCUACUGAUUGAUCCUUCUCUUUUUUCUUGUUCCAGACUCGUGUUAGGAAACUCUUACUGCCCUCAGCAACUCUAUGAUAUUUGAAGCAAACUUUGGGGUAUUCAUCCUCUGGACAGAAUAACUGCACAGCAGAAGUUACACAGAGACACUGGCUUUAUUUCCCUGUAACAACAGGGUUAGUCCUCGGGCUCACAGGAGUUAAAAGGGGUGGCUGCUGCUGCCCCAUGGCUAACACCAAGAGGGAAGGAAACCUCGGCACCCCACCUGCAAACACUGAAAACCACACGAAUGUGUUACCUUGGAAGAACUCUGAUCUCCUGCUUACAGAAGCCCCUGUGGUGUACAGCUCCAGUGCCCUAGCAGAUACCAUAAAAUAAGGAAGGCUGAAACGACUAUGGAGUUGUCUGGAAAAAAACAUUUCUUUGUGUUUCACAAGAAACAAAGAAAAUUACUUUUGUGCAAAGGUUUUCUGCUGGUGCUGGACAAGCUGCAGAAUCUGAAGCAGCUGGUGGCCUGCACUGCUCCUAGAAGGAGGUCUCUGGCCAAUUUGCAGAGACAGGUGGAGUGUGCCAAUGCCCACCAGUCACAAGGUCCUGCAUGUUGACUUCUUGUUAUCCCUGGGCACCUGAAAGGAUGUGACUACAGACUAGGCUCCUUGAUGUGUGUGCUCUUGCUUUGAUGUGCAGGCACUUCAAUGGAAAAGGUUAACAUUUUUCCCAUCACUUUUCUGAAUAAAAUAAUGCAACACAUAUA